rnacentral:rRNA from 1 species
UACAGAGGGGGCAAGCGUUGUUCGGAAUUACUGGGCGUAAAGGGCGCGUAGGCGGCCUGUUAAGUCGAACGUGAAAUCCCCGGGCUCAACCCGGGAACUGCGUCCGAUACUGGCAGGCUUGAAUUCGGGAGAGGGAUGCGGAAUUCCAGGUGUAGCGGUGAAAUGCGUAGAUAUCUGGAGGAACAUCAGUGGCGAAGGCGGCUGCCUGGCCCAAUACUGACACUCAGGUGCGACAGCGUGGGGAGCAAACAGG